CAGUAGGUGGCGGUAAUGCACACCAGAAGGUUGCUUGCCAACCUGCUAUAAAAACAAAAGAAGAAGAAGAAGAUCCACACUUCCGGGUGGUGAUGACGUCGCGUCGUGACGUCAUAUUUCAAAAUGGCAGAGCCCGCGGAAAGACCCCCUGGAGUCGACUCCAUUUCCCAAGAAAAGAUGUCAACAGCGCGACUUGUAACAAUUAUAAGGCCGAGGAGGGUUAUUUGAACACACACCAUUCAAUUAUUAUAAAUGAAAGUCACGUUUUUUUUAACCGCUCCGGUCUCGUCCCAGCGGAAGUGACGCUAGCACGUCAUCAGAAUACAACAGAUCAACACGACGAGAGAGACAUUCUGCCGCUAGACGAAGGUCACCGAGCAGCGACGAAGUUUGCAUUUUCGAGGUCCAGGGAGCCACGAGGGCGGUGCUAAAGAGACGCGGGUUGCUGACCCCCGGCCUACACCCUAGACUGGCCGCCAGUUCAUCACAGGACACAUGAACAAGCCUUCGCCCUCAAAUCAGAGAAAAACAACAACACCAGAAAUGUGUCCCGUGAAAAACCGUCCGACCAGAACUCUAAUAACUAAAGUUCCUUGGGUGAAUAAUGGUAACUCACUACACCGGUAUGUUUUAGGGCUUUCAUGGCGAGUUUACUGACUGAAAUAAGUAAUAACUUUACACUGCUUUUUAUUAGAAAUGGCAACAGCAGAGGAUGGAUGUCCCAUAACAAGAAGGUGGAGAAAAAGAAGAAGCUUAUCGACUACGGUGUCGGCACGGACUACAAAGGCGGACCUGCACAAAUUUUCAGGUACCAGAAGGUAAGAAAAGUUUC